rnacentral:rRNA from 1 species
UACCUGCAGCUCGAGUGGUAACCGCUUUUAUUGGGCCUAAAGCGUCCGUAGCCGGUUUGGUAAAUAUCUGGGUAAAUCGUGAGGCUUAACUUCACGAAUUUCGGAUAGACUGCCAGACUUGGGAUCGGGGGAGGUCAGAGGUACUCCAGGGGUAGCGGUGAAAUGUUGUAAUCCUUGGAGGACCACCGGUAGCGAAGGCGUCUGACUAGAACGAGUCCGACGGUGAGGGACGAAGCCCUGGGGCGCAAACCGGAUUAGAUACCCGGGUAGUCCAGGGUGUAAACAAUGUGGGCUUUGUAUUGGAGGUCCUACGUAGGCGUCCAGUGCAGAAGAGAAGUUGUUAAGCCCACCGCUUGGGAAGUACGGUCGCAAGGCUGAAACUUAAAGGAAUUGGCGGGGAGCACAGCAACGGGAGGAGCGUGCGGUUU